GAUUGACUUCUCAGCACCGAUAUCUUGCUCUUGCAACGA
rnacentral:rRNA from 1 species